UGCUGUGCUCCAUGUUCAGGAGGCAGAGAAGAAAAUACCUCUGGAGACAAGCUUGGAAUGGUGUUCCUGUGUCCUAAAGACACUUGAGGAAUACCUUGAAUCAGCCCAGGACUUGGAAUCAAAUGCCAAGAAUUGGAGAGCUAUCAAGAGCAGCCAUCUACUGGCUCAUUCUAGCUUUACUACAAUGAAAUUUGCUUCGGGAGAUGUCCGUCAGUGCAGAGAGGCACUUGAAAGUUUUGAUCGUCUCCUUCACUCAGUGAGAGAGUCUGUGAGAGAAGCUGGGGAGCUGUCUCACACCUUCCUGGAAAUGAAAGGACAGCUGUACAUGCAUGCUGGGACGUUUCUGCUCACACUGGCCCAGAACAACGAGGCGCAGUGGAGCGAUGCAUGUCAACUGGCAGCACUGUGUUAUCUGAAGAGUUUCAACGUGAGUCACUUGUCCCUUUCUGCCUCCAGUUAGUGCAGUUCUCGACCACUCUUGCUGUGCAGGUGUGGGAUGCCCGUAUUCCCAAGCUCAAUCAGUGUUUGU